UACGUAGGGUGCAAGCGUUAAUCGGAAUUACUGGGCGUAAAGCGUGCGCAGGCGGUGAUGUAAGCCAGAUGUGAAAUCCCCGGGCUCAACCUGGGAAUGGCAUUUGGGACUGCAAGGCUGGAGUACGGCAGAGGAGACUGGAAUUCCUGGUGUAGCAGUGAAAUGCGUAGAGAUCAGGAGGAAUACCGAUGGCGAAGGCAGGUCUCUGGGCUGAUACUGACGCUCAUGCACGAAAGCGUGGGGAGCAAACAGG
rnacentral:rRNA from 1 species